AGCACAGACGAUUCGAUUCCAUCAAGGGCAGAUGCUCUGCAGCUCAUCUGAGAGCAGCACUCCACCAAGACCCCGAGAAUAACACAACCAGACACGGCUUAGAGACACUGCUACGUGUCCUGUACCUUGUACCUGACGACUUCGAUCUGAGCGAGCCUAUCUAGAUAAUUUGAAGGUAUUUACAACUCAACACUAACCAAACCCUCUCCCUCCUGGAGAACCAGCGCAGCACGGUGAGCCACGGAGCCACGGAGUCAACGGAGCCACGGAGCCACGGUCAUCUCUGCCAAGGCCAUCUCUGAGUAGGACCAGAGUGAACAACUGUGCGUGUUGUAAGCCUCCCGGGACGCAUUUGAGAUGACUCCGGCUGAGUAAGACUAGAACAGAAACUGUUAACUCUUUUUACCCAGGAGAAAAAGGAACACUACCUGCAGUCAGAACACAGGACCUCCUCUGGGGUGUCAGGAAACUCCACAACAUCAUCCAAAAACUGAGUUCCAUGAGAGCAAAGUCAGCUUGGAAACUCAACUUUAGAAGUUAAAAAAAAAACAAAACACUUUGCAUCGACAAAAACCUUUUGCAACAACACUUUGUAUCGUUAAGUCGACAGAAAAAAAGCAAAAUACAACAAUAGGAAUAAAAUAACGGGGAGAAAGCCUGCCGGGAUGGAUACAGUAAUUUGCUUUACUGUCAUAACCGUUUUAAUAUCUAUAUAUUUUUCCAUGUAUCAUCUAUCUCUGUAUAUCGCAUAAUGUGUUAUGCCUUGAAAAUAUACACUUUAAAAUUU
rnacentral:lncRNA from 1 species